CAAUAGCGUAUAUUUAAGUUGCUGCAGUUAAAAAGCUCGUAGUUGGAUUUCGGGUGGGAAUGGCCGGUCCGCCGUUUCGGUGUGCACUUGCUACGCCCACCUUGCUGGCGGGGACGUGCUCUUGAGUUCACGCUCGGGACACGGAGUCGGCGAGGUUACUUUGAGUAAAUUAGAGUGUUCAAAGCAGGCCUACGCUCUGAAUACAUUAGCAUGGAAUAACACGAUAGGACUCUGGCCUAUCUUGUUGGUCUGUAGGACCGGAGUAAUGAUUAAGAGGGACAGUCGGGGGCAUUCGUAUUUCAUUGUCAGAGGUGAAAUUCUUGGAUUUAUGAAAGACGAACUACUGCGAAAGCAUUUGCCAAGGAUGUUUUCAUUAA
rnacentral:rRNA from 1 species